GCAGGAGGCGAGCUGCCGCCGGCCCCGCUGCCGUCACGUGGCCGCCGAGUUUUCUCCCCGCAGCGGUAUGAGGAAGUCGCAGCCGCCGCCGUCCGCAGCCCGGGCGGGCGCAGCCUCCGCCGCCGCCGCCCCGCGGCGCGAUAUGCUGGCUCUCUCCGGCACUCGCCUCCCGGCGUGAAGCCCCCCGCCGGCGCCGCCGUCCCGAUGGAGGAGCCCCCGGCGGCGGAGGAGUGGCAGGGGGCCACCCAGAAGAGGAAGGCCUGGGCCAAGAGCCGGGACUCCUGGCAGGCGUCGGAAGCGGAGGAUCUCUCGGCAGCGGCGGCGGCGCUAGCCCGCGGCGAGGAGGAGGAGGAGGAGGAAGAAGAGGAGGAAGAGGAGGAGGAGGACCUCGCCGGCGGAGAGCUGCCGCUGGCCGCAGAAGCAGGCCACAGCGUUCCCAACGAGAAGAUCGCGAUAUGGCUGAAGGACUGCAGAACGCCUCUGGGAGCCUCCCUGGAUGAGCAAAGCAAUCCUCUGUUGAAGGGCAUGCUGGUGAGAAAUGGAGGAAGUUUUGAAGAUGACUUAUCCCUGGGAGCCGAAGCUAAUCAACUACGGAGUGAUACCCAAAUGGAAACAUGCAAUGGUGUUCUGGCGAAGGAGAGGAGGCUGCAGUUCCACCAGAAAGGGAGAAGUAUGAACUCGACCGGGUCUGGAAAAAGCAGUGCAACUGUCUCAAGUGUUUCUGAAUUACUGGAGCUUUAUGAAGAAGAUCCUGAAGAAGUGCUCUAUAACCUUGGGUUUGGACGAGAUGAACCAGAUAUUGCUUCAAAAAUUCCAGCAAGAUUUUUUAAUUCAUCAUCAUUUGCCAGAGGGAUAGAUAUUAAAGUGUUUUUGAAUGCCCAAAUACAGCGCAUGGAAGUGGAAAAUCCAAAUUUUGCUUUAACAAGUCGCUUUCGUCAGAUUGAAGUGCUCACUACUGUGGCCAAUGCUUUUUCUUCUUUGUAUUCUCAAGUCUCUGGGACUCCUUUGCAGAAAAUUGGUAGUAUGAAUUCAGUGUCUUCCAGCAAAGAGGCAUCCAGCCCUCCCCCUUUGAAUCGCAGCAAUACAGCCAGUCGGUUAAUGAAGACCUUGUCAAAGCUCAAUCUGUGUGGCACACAGCAAGCUGAUGGUAGUGGCUGCUCGACUCCUUCACCCGUUGAAAAAGGGAAAAGUCCAGCUGAACCAGGAGGUGAGGAAGAUGAUGAUAAAAGUGAAUCUAAAUUACCAAAAUACCCUAAAAAGAAGGACUCUCCCUCUUUUUUGGCUACUGUAAAGGAGGAGAUAGCCAGUAGUCAGACAAAUGCUGUGGACACAAAUAAAGCUGCAAACCUUCCUGCUGGGACUGACAGUAAGCAAGAGGGUACUGUGCCUCCAGCAGAUGUGCAAAGCAGCAGCUUGGCAAGUGCCCAGGAUAGACCAAGUGAAGAAUCUGGUCUUUUGGACUCACCAGGCCUCAGCAGUGAUUCCAGUUCAUCCAACUGCAGCACUGCAACGCAAAGGCUGCCUGCGCCAUCACCGGGUAGAGACCCCUGUGCUCCCCUCGCAAACCCGUCUGUAACGAAUCUAAUGCUGCAGCAGAAGGACUCCUUUGAGAUGGAAGAGAUCCAGAGUACAGAGGGGGAUCUACCACACAUUCCAGCUUCUCACCAGCUGGCAGUGACCAAGUCAAGGAAAGAUCAGCUGUUACGGUCUGCGAGUCAGCACUCUGACAGCAGUGGCUUUGCUGAGGACUCCUCCACAGAUUGUUCUCCAUUUAAUCAGCUUCAGGUUCAGGAGUCUUUGCAAGGCAUGGGAAGCAGUGCUGACAGCUGUGACAGUGAGACAACGGUGACGUCGCAUAGUGAGGAACAGAAGACACCGAUAGCCAAAGAACUGCCCUGUUUCAAUAAGUUUCAGGAGGAGGAAGAAGAUGAUGAGGAUGAUGAGGAUGAUGAAGAGGAUAUUAUCUCCCAAGUAGAGAGACAAAAGGUAGGGGCACCUUCUCAGAACAGAAGGAACGAAGAUAGAAAAAGUAUUGACUAUGAAAUGGAACAAAAUCAAGGACGAGAAAGCAAGUCAUCUCAUAUGUCAGAGACAGUGCAAGGAGAGGUCAGCUCUAAAGAGGAAGACAUUUCCAGAGAGCAAAAAGAAUUGGAACUGCUGGAGGAAGGCAGUGUGUUUGAGUUUCCUCAGUACCACACACACCAUAUCCUCAAGUCUUUGGAGUCUCUGGAAGGUGGCAGUUCCUCCCCAUCGUCUGUGGACAGGGUUCACGUCGCCUUGCAAAGAGCCGAGAUGAGGAUCAUCAGCACAUCUGAUUCUAGGGCCGGAUGCACUCUACCCAAGUCAAAAGAUCUCCUGAGGAAGCAGAGACUCUGGUUUGCUGAAUCGGGCUAUCCUCUAAGGCGGUCUCAGUCUCUCCCAUCUGCAUUGCUGAAUCCAGUUAAAGUGGUGUCGUCUGUGAAUGUCCAGUUAACUCCAGGAAAGGAGACUCUGUGCAGUCCUCCUUCUUUCACCUACAAGUACACACGUGUGGAGGAAGAUGAGAAAGUGACAGCUGAGAAUGACAAAAGUGAGGGUGAGGCAGCCGUUAGCCAGCCAGUGUGUAAAUCCACGCUGUUCAUUGCGCCAUCGUCCUCCAAGAAAGAGGUCCCCCCGACUGGGCCCAGCAGGCUGUUUGAGGAGCCCAGUCCCACCAGGGUACAGAGCUGCCCGCUGCACACACCGGCACACAUGUCCCAGUCGACCUGCUCCCUCCACUCCCUCCCUGCCGAGUGGCAGGACAGACCGCUCUGCGAGCAUGUGAGGACGCUGAGCACCCACAGUGUCCCAAGCAUCUCUGGCUCUUCCUUCGGUGCCUUGCUGUCCCCCUUCAGCUGCCCCUUCUCCCCAAGGCAUGCUGGAUUUCCUCAUCGACCUCAUGCCAUCAACCCGCCCUCUACCGUGGAGAUGCAGCUGCGCAGAGUCCUACACGACAUCAGAAACUCUCUGCAGAACCUGUCACAGUACCCAGUGAUGAGGGGUCAGGAUCUUUCAGCUGCCACCAGUUACACUGCUCAGAGAUCAUCCAUUCUACCUCUCUACGAAAAUACUUUCCAGGAGCUACAAGUGGUAAGGCGAAAUCUAAACUUAUUCAGAACCCAAAUGAUGGAUUUGGAGUUGACUAUGUUACGUCAACAGACAACAGUUUAUCAGCACAUGACAGAAGAAGAAAGAUACGAAGCUGAUCAGCUACAGAGCUUGAGAAAGUCUGUCCGCAUGGAGCUACAGGAGUUAGAGAUGCAGUUAGAAGAACGUCUGCUUGCUUUGGAAGACCAGCUGAGAAGCCUGCACAUGUCUUCACCUUACAGACCUCAGACACACAUAGGUAUGUAUGGAAGCAGAAGUGCUGAUAAUCUGUCAUGCCCUUCUCCAUUGAAUGUCAUUGAACCAGUCUCUGAACUUAUUCGAGAGCAGUCAUUUCUGAAGUCUGAACUGGGUUUAGGACUGGGAGAUCUUGGACUGGAAACUCUCCCAGCAGAGGGUACAGAGUCUGUAUUCUCCCAUGGAAACUCUGAUUCCUCUUCAGUGUGCUCCGGUCAUGCAGGUAGAAAAGCUGGUGUUGGAUCCUCUGAACUAACAGGAAAAUCGAAGGGUCAAAGCAAGAAGUUAUACCGAGCCUCCAUUGCGUUAACACCAACUCCCCCGGUGAGAGCAGGCGCUGGACAGCAGGUGGAAAGCUCUGAUGAGCUUGUAGAUUCCAAGCCAGAGGUGGAGCACAAACUUGAAAAAGUCCCUCUCGUGCCUUUGGUUGAUGAAAUCCAUAAAACUGUGGAGCAGGAGGAGCUGCAGCAAGUCAUACGGGAGAUCAAGGAAUCCAUUGUUGGUGAAAUAAGACGAGAAAUAGUAAGUGGAUUGUUAGCAGCUGUAUCACCCCAAAGCAGAUCUGCAACUGCAAAGCAAGAUACACAGCCAUGAAACUGGUACUACAGCUUGUAUGAGUAUGCGGUUCCAUUGCAGAGUGCCACUGGGGAGCGACCAGCCAGACCCAAGUGCCUGCAACCUUCCUUCACAAAUGCACAAGCCCAAAACCUACUCAAAUAAUGGCAGCAGCAGAUGCUCCCCUUGUCCCCCAGCCAGGUUAAUUUGCACACUCAAUUGUUAAUCUAGGUCCUGUGCCCAUAUGCUACUCAAAGUGGCAUUCCAAAAGAGGUGGCAACUGUGGAUCUCUCGGAGCACUGGAGGAAAGCAUUUCAGGAGCCAAGGGCUGCCAGCACCAUGCUCCGCAGGUAUGGUCGCCUGGCUCCGCACCGCUCUGGCAAGGAAAGUCACUUGUAGGUAACGUCCUGGAGUGUCUAUGGCACUUCAGCUCGUAGCUUGUAAGAACAUUUGAUCUCAGCAAUGCAAUCUAGUGUUUUAAUAUAUCCUAAGAAAUGAAAAAUAGUGCCAAUUUUUCAUCCAGCUGGUGGAAGGCGUAUUUGUGAGGUUCUGGCAUAAUUUAAAAUGAAGACAUUUCGAAAUGGCAUUUCUAAAAACUGCACUAAAACUAAUGAAUAUAGGAGCACCUAUUUUUCCAUAAUCCUUGGUAAGUGAUUUUUGCCAUUCUUAAGACACUUACUGGUAAUAUUUUCUGAGUGACAUUUAUGUAGAUAUAGGAACGUCUAUAAACUCCUGUUUAAAAAAGAUAAAACUGUAGUACACUGCUGUCAUAUAAGUUAAGCUGAACUGAUAUCAACCUCUGUUGACAUUUCUGUUUGUGCCUUAGGAACAGCCGUCAUUAUUAUUGGACACACACCUAACCUGGGUGGCUUGCCCUUUAGUAACGUCAAUUCAGCUGUAACGAUUUUCUGAGCGUGGACAGUUUUUUCUUUUGUUUGGUGACUGAAACUGCUACUUUCCUUACAGAUCAGUGUUGUCUUUUUUUCUACCAGCCUGCAAUUUGAUAUGAAUUCUAUGCAGAUUAAACCAGCUUUAAUAGUGGCUGAUAAAUAUUGGUCAAUCAAAUUUGCUGUGAAUAAAGCCGGCAGUAAAGCCGGAGAUAUUUUGGAUGCUUUUCUAAACUUCAUUGUGAUAGCGAUCUUUGUGGAUGCCAGCUGGCUGCAGGAAUGUAAAGCAAAGUGAUGUAUUUUGGAAACCCUAAGAACUAGCUGUUUUCUGUGGGUACAGGGCAGCUACAUCCCUGUUGGCAGCAAAGUAGAGUUGUAUUUAGCCUGCUACAGAGCAAUAUGUGCCUAUGGCACAGCUCAACUCAGGCAGAGGUUUGGGAGGCUAAUACUUGGAGAUUUUUUUUUUUAUUUCUAUUGUUUUUUUAAGGUGAGUAAAAGCAUGUUUCUAGCCCCUCUUGUUCCCUUGUUGCAAUGAAAAGCAACAAAAACAACCUCUGCUGAAAUGUGGAGACAUCUCAGCAUUCAGAAGCUGGAGGCAAUAGCUGGAAAGGUGGGAGCAGCCCCCUGCAUGCUUGGGUUAGUGCUGUGAUGCCUGUAAGGUGCUGCUGCCACCGCUCACCCACAGCGCUGUGUAUGCAAGACCUGAAAAAGAAAGGAUGGAGGAUGGCCACGGACCCAGCUGCACGGCCAGGGGUGAGUACACGGGAGGAGAGGCUUCUGCUGCUGGUAGUUUCUGCAGUGCUGUUUGGAGAGAGGACUCAAAAGUGGCCCUGACUCUUCUGAAAGAGCUGAUGGGCUCACGAAGCUCUUUCAGGCACUUUUGCUGACCAUGACCUUCAUAGAGGGAGGGGGGCUGCCCUGUGUCUUCUGCUUUCUCUGAAAUUAUGUGAUGUGCAAGGCCUUGGCAGCCUGCUUCUGGAAGGCAAGUGAUGCCCAAGAUGCUCCAAGCUGCACAUUUCCUAAGGACGAGUUUGCUUCGAUUGCUGUUUUCUUUUAAGGGUGAAAGGAAAAAUCCUGGACAGUGGUUAAGUAAUUAGGUGGUAGUGAUGAGAAGGCAGCAUGAUGAAAAGCAAGAAUUGCCUCAGUGGUCUGCCAGAGGCAGCCCCAAGCUGUUGCUCCUCUCCAUGAUCUGUUUGCUCUCCGUUCUGGCUGGCUGUGUCCUCUCCCCUGCUGAGAGAGUCCGUGGGCCCUCCAAGACCCCGACCAACAUGCACCUUCCCUCAGCAGGAAGCCUCACCCCAGAUCAGGAAAAGAAGGCCUACACCAGCAUCACUCGUCAUCAUGAAUGAACACGUGCCUCCAG